UACGUAGGGUCCGAGCGUUGUCCGGAAUUAUUGGGCGUAAAGAGCUCGUAGGCGGUUUGUCGCGUCGGCCGUGAAAACUUGGGGCUUAACCCCAAGCUUGCGGUCGAUACGGGCAGACUUGAGUUCGGCAGGGGAGACUGGAAUUCCUGGUGUAGCGGUGAAAUGCGCAGAUAUCGGGAGGAACACCAAUGGCGAAGGCAGCUCGCUGGGACGGUACUGACGCUGAGGCGCGAAAGCGUGGGGAGCAAACAGG
rnacentral:rRNA from 1 species